rnacentral:rRNA from 1 species
UGGGGAAUUUUGGACAAUGGGGGAAACCCUGAUCCAGCCAUCCCGCGUGUGCGAUGAAGGCCUUCGGGUUGUAAAGCACUUUUGGCAGGAAAGAAACGUCGUGGGUUAAUACCCCGCGAAACUGACGGUACCUGCAGAAUAAGCACCGGCUAACUACGUGCCAGCAGCCGCGGUAAUACGUAGGGUGCAAGCGUUAAUCGGAAUUACUGGGCGUAAAGCGUGCGCAGGCGGUUCGGAAAGAAAGAUGUGAAAUCCCAGAGCUUAACUUUGGAACUGCAUUUUUAACUACCGGGCUAGAGUGUGUCAGAGGGAGGUGGAAUUCCGCGUGUAGCAGUGAAAUGCGUAGAUAUGCGGAGGAACACCGAUGGCGAAGGCAGCCUCCUGGGAUAACACUGACGCUCAUACACGAAAGCGUGGGGAGCAAACAGGAUUAGAUACCCUGGUAGUCCACGCCCUAAACGAUGUCAACUAGCUGUUGGGGUCUUCGGACCUUGGUAGCGCAGCUAACGCGUGAAGUUGACCGCCUGGGGAGUACGGUCGCAAGAUUAAAACUCAAAGG